rnacentral:rRNA from 1 species
UACGGAGGAUCCGAGCGUUAUCCGGAUUUAUUGGGUUUAAAGGGAGCGUAGGUGGAUUGUUAAGUCAGUUGUGAAAGUUUGCGGCUCAACCGUAAAAUUGCAGUUGAAACUGGCAGUCUUGAGUACAGUAGAGGUGGGCGGAAUUCGUGGUGUAGCGGUGAAAUGCUUAGAUAUCACGAAGAACUCCGAUUGCGAAGGCAGCAUGCCGGCUCCACACUGACGCUGAGGCAUGAGAGCAUGGGGAGCAAACAGG